rnacentral:rRNA from 1 species
UGGGGAAUAUUGCACAAUGGGCGGAAGCCUGAUGCAGCAACGCCGCGUGCGGGAUGACGGCCUUCGGGUUGUAAACCGCUUUCGCCUGUGACGAAGCGUGAGUGACGGUAAUGGGUAAAGAAGCACCGGCUAACUACGUGCCAGCAGCCGCGGUGAUACGUAGGGUGCGAGCGUUGUCCGGAUUUAUUGGGCGCAAAGGGCUCGUAGGUGGUUGAUCGCGUCGGAAGUGUAAUCUUGGGGCUUAACCCUGAGCGUGCUUUCGAUACGGGUUGACUUGAGGAAGGUAGGGGAGAAUGGAAUUCCUGGUGGAGCGGUGGAAUGCGCAGAUAUCAGGAGGAACACCAGUGGCGAAGGCGGUUCUCUGGGCCUUUCCUGACGCUGAGGAGCGAAAGCGUGGGGAGCGAACA